UAGGUUCCGCUCCCGCAGUCAUACAUGCGGUGGACCGACGUUUUAUAUGCAGGGAGCUCAAGAUAGCCUGUGGAACGGAGAUUCGCGUCCGUUGAUGCGAAAGCCGGAAAGCUGGCUGCGAGCACCCACCUUUCGAGGUGGGUUCACCCUGGACUUGUCGGGGGCGGAGCUUUU
rnacentral:other from 1 species